GGGGGAUCUUAGGACCUCUCGCUACAGGGGCGGCCGAUGGCAGAUUAGCUAGUUGGUGGGGUAAAGGCCUACCAAGGCGACGAUCUGUAGCUGGUCUGAGAGGACGACCAGCCACACUGGGACUGAGACACGGCCCAGACUCCUACGGGAGGCAGCAGUGGGGAAUUUUGGACAAUGGGCGCAAGCCUGAUCCAGCAAUGCCGCGUGUGUGAAGAAGGCCUUCGGGUUGUAAAGCACUUUUGUCCGGAAAGAAAACGUUCUGGUUAAUACCCGUGGCGGAUGACGGUACCGGAAGAAUAAGCACCGGCUAACUACGUGCCAGCAGCCGCGGUAAUACGUAGGGUGCAAGCGUUAAUCGGAAUUACUGGGCGUAAAGCGUGCGCAGGCGGUCCGCUAAGACAGAUGUGAAAUCCCCGGGCUUAACCUGGGAACUGCAUUUGUGACUGGC
rnacentral:rRNA from 1 species